rnacentral:snRNA from 1 species
AUCGCUUCUCGGCCUUUUGGCUAAGAUCAAGUGAAGAAAUUGUGGUAUAAAUACAUAUUAGAGUGUUUUUCAGUCACCAGAAAAAAGGAAAGUCCUCAUUUGCAGCAAAAUGGCUGGAACUUGAGGACAUUAU